rnacentral:rRNA from 1 species
UACGGAGGGUGCAAGCGUUAAUCGGAAUUACUGGGCGUAAAGCGUGCGCAGGCGGUUUGUUAAGUCUGCUGUGAAAUCCCCGAGCUCAACUUGGGAAUUGCAGUGGAUACUGGCAGGCUGGAGUAUGGUAGAGGAGGGUGGAAUUCCCGGUGUAGCAGUGAAAUGCGUAGAGAUCGGGAGGAACACCAGUGGCGAAGGCGGCCAUCUGGGACAUCACUGACGCUGAAGCACGAAAGCGUGGGGAGCAAACAGG